rnacentral:lncRNA from 10 species
UUGAGGAGGGAGGAGGGGAGAAGAAAACUCCAAACAGCAGAAAACAUUCCUGAGUUCUGUGCGCAGUGCCUUUGAUGGGUGUGCUCAGAUUUUUUUCAUCGAGGUGGUUUUGAAUCAGUUGCAGGCCUUCUUUCAUGUGGGUAACUAUUUAAAGAUGUGAUAUUCGGGGCAAGCGUUUGUACCAACUCAUUUUCUCUGUCUUCUCCCAGGCCGCUGAGGACCGCACAGGGGAGCGGGCGGCGGCAUCGCGAGGACUGACCACUGGGUGGCACUGUUGCUCCAUGGAGAGCUGCCAACGGCGUCCCCGGGGACCCGGCCACGUUGAGCACAAAAGGCAGAGGAGCCUGGCAACCAUGUCCCAAGUUGGAAGGAAGCUCUGAGAACCCUGCUCCCCAGAAAUCCUGAGCAAAGGCUGGCUGGCCUACAGGAGCAGUCUAGAGUAAGAGCUGUUUCCUGGCAGAGGAUCAAGUAUCCAGGUCACAUUGAAGAGACAUGUGAGGACUCCAAUGGAGAACAAUUUGAGAGUGAGAAACCAGUUCUGGAGGCCAGGAAGUUCAAGAUCAAGGUGUUGGCAAGUUCAGUGUCUGCUGAGGACCUGAUCUCUCUUCUUUCAAGAUGGCAUCUUGUUGCUCUUCCCUCCAGAGAGUAGAAAUGCUGGAACCUCACAUGGAGGAAAAAAUGAAAAGGACCAAUGCUAGUUCCCUUCAGCCUUUUUAUGAACUCACUAAUUCCCAUUGAGGGCUCCACAUACAUGACUUAAUCACCUCCUAAAUGCCUGACUUCCUAAUACUCUCAUUUUGAAGAUUAAGUUUCAACAUAUGAAUUUGGGGGUCAUAUUCAGAACAUAGCACUUAUGAUACUAUCUCAAAUCAUAGACUGCUUUCUCGGUGGGCAUCUAUCUCAGUUUCUUUUCUGUUGUUAUUACAGAGUACCUGAGCCUGAGUAAUUUAUAAAGAAAAUACAUUUAUUUUGGCUCAUGGCUCUAUAGGCUGGGAAGUCCAAGAUUGGGCGGUUACAUCUGGUUGGCUCCUGGUGCGGGCCUCCUGCCGCAUCAUAACAAGGUAGAGAAGUGAAAGGGAAGGUGGGCUUGUAGGAAGGGGGCAAAGCAUGAAGGGCAGGCUUGCUUUAUAGAAACUGGGACACAGCACCCCACAGGAUGAGUGUAUAAAGGCUAGACAGACAAGGGGAUUGUUGUGUUGAACCUGAAAAGUCCCCUCACCUGGCAAUGCUCUCUGUUCCCUGUGAGAAGAAGGGGUUUCUUUUCUUCUGGGAUGAUUCAUCCCUUCACCUGUGGCCUUCCCUAGAGCCCAUCCUUGUGCCAUUCUGCUCUCCAGGCACAUCUCUCUCAGAUGAAUUCCCUCUUCCCUCUUCCUCUGGCCCCUCCUGUUUAUUUAUCUGUUUCCUCACCACUGUGUAAUCAGGUAGGCCCCACUGCUGUGACCUCUGGAAUAAUGAUUGAAUCUGCCCUAUCCUCUCCACAGUGAUGCCUGGGACCCAGCUGAGAUCUCCAUCAUCUCUCAAAACAACUGUGCACUGACCUCCUGACCUAAGCCCAGCCUCUGCCCACUCAGACUGACCUUCACGCAGCUGCACAAUGCUGCAUUUGGAAGCCGGACCUGACCACAUUCGUUUCCCUCUAGAUUCAUGUUCUGGAGAAAUGAAAAUGCUGUCUCAGUGGAAUGUUGAUUAGCUGGAGUGGAGACCCAAGAUCUCUGUCCAGGCAGGGCCAUCAACUAGAGGUGGCCCUGUGAUUGAUGAGUGACCAGCCAUGUGUGGAGAAAAGCAAUGUGAACAACUUCUGACUUCGCUGUUAAAGAAAAUUGGUCUGUCCCCCAUUUCCUUGCAUUCCCAUUCUUACUGGCUGAAAUUCAAAGCUGAUAAAUGGAGCUAGAGCAGAUAGCUGGGAAAAUGAGUUGAGGGUCUUACAUUAAGACUUGCCAGCAAGAAGAAGAAUUUUUCCAGGGUUCCUGACACCGCCAAAUUGUUCGAUCAGCUCUGAACUCUAUACUGAGAUUCUUUAAGUAUGAGAGACAUGAACUUUGACUGGCUUAAGUGAGCUAUUGAGGUCUCUUUGCUAUUGUGACCUAACUCAGGGGUCAGCAAAUAACACUCUGUGCGCAAAAUCUGACUACGAUCUGUUUUUGUAACUAAAUAAAAUUUCACUGAAACACACCCAUGCUCAUUUAUUUAGGUAUGGCUGCUUUCAUGAUACCAUGGCACAUUUGACUACCUAUAGACAGUGAUAUGAUGUGGAUCUGUGUCCCCACCCAAAUCUCAUGUUGAAAUGUAAUCCCCCUGUGCUGGAGGUGGGAUCUGGUGGGAGGUGAAAUGGGGGCGGUUUCUCAAGAAUGGUUUAGCUCCAUUUCUCUGCUGCUGUAUUCAUGAUAGUAAGUGAGUGAGUUGUCACAAGAUCUGAUUGUGUAAAAGUGUGUGGCACCUCCCCCUUCUCUCUUGCUCCUUCUCGGCCAUGUAAGACCUGCCUGCUUCCCCUUCACCUUCCACCAUGAUUGUAAAUUUCAU